GAUGAACGCUGGCGGCGUGCCUAAUACAUGCAAGUCGAGCGAACGGACGAGAAGCUUGCUUCUCUGAUGUUAGCGGCGGACGGGUGAGUAACACGUGGAUAACCUACCUAUAAGACUGGGAUAACUUCGGGAAACCGUAGCUAAUACCGGAUAAUAUUUUGAACCGCAUGGUUCAAAAGUGAAAGACGGUCUUGCUGUCACUUAUAGAUGGAUCCGCGCUGCAUUAGCUAGUUGGUAAGGUAACGGCUUACCAAGGCAACGAUGCAUAGCCGACCUGAGAGGGUGAUCGGCCACGCUGGAACUGAGACACGGUCCAGACUCCUACGGGAGGCAGAAGUAGGGAAUCUUCCGCAAUGGGCGAAAGCCUGACGGAGCAACGCCGCGUAAGUGAUGAAGGUCUUCGGAUCGUAAAACUCUGUUAUUAGGGAAGAACAUAUGUGUAAGUAACUGUGCACAUCUUGACGGUACCUAAUCAGAAAGCCACGGCUAACUACGUG
rnacentral:rRNA from 1 species